rnacentral:rRNA from 1 species
GGGAGCUUGCUCCCUGAAGUCAGCGGCGGACGGGUGAGUAACACGUGGGCAACCUGCCUGUAAGACUGGGAUAACUUCGGGAAACCGGAGCUAAUACCGGAUAAUGCACAGCCUCUCAUGAGGCUAUGCUGAAAGAUGGUUUCGGCUAUCACUUACAGAUGGGCCCGCGGCGCAUUAGCUAGUUGGUGAGGUAACGGCUCACCAAGGCAACGAUGCGUAGCCGACCUGAGAGGGUGAUCGGCCACACUGGGACUGAGACACGGCCCAGACUCCUACGGGAGGCAGCAGUAGGGAAUCUUCCGCAAUGGACGAAAGUCUGACGGAGCAACGCCGCGUGAGUGAUGAAGGUUUUCGGAUCGUAAAACUCUGUUGUCAGGGAAGAACAAGUGCCGGAGUAACUGCCGGCACCUUGACGGUACCUGACCAGAAAGCCACGGCUAACUACGUGCCAGCAGCCGCGGUAAUACGUAGGUGGCAAGCGUUGUCCGGAAUUAUUGGGCGUAAAGCGCGCGCAGGCGGUCUCUUAAGUCUGAUGUGAAAGCCCACGGCUCAACCGUGGAGGGUCAUUGGAAACUGGGGGACUUGAGUGCAGAAGNNNAAAGUGGAAUUCCACGUGUAGCGGUGAAAUGCGUAGAGAUGUGGAGGAACACCAGUGGCGAANNCGACUUUCUGGUCUGUAACUGACGC